rnacentral:rRNA from 1 species
UACGUAGGGGGCAAGCGUUGUCCGGAAUCAUUGGGCGUAAAGAGCGUGUAGGCGGCCCGAUAAGUCCGCUGUGAAAGUCCAGGGCUCAACCCUGGAAUGCCGGUGGAUACUGUCGGGCUCGAAUCCGGAAGAGGUGAGUGGAAUUCCUGGUGUAGCGGUGAAAUGCGUAGAUAUCUGGAGGAAUACCGGUGGCGAAGGCGGCAUCCUGGACCGAGAUUGACACUGAAAAGCGAAAGCCAGGGGAGCAAACGGG